GCGUCCGUAGCCCAAUGGGAGAGGCACCGGCCUAAGGAGCCGGACGGUGCGGGUUCGAAUCCCGCCGGACGUACCA
rnacentral:tRNA from 2 species